GGGUGUGAUCAUACUAGUGUUAAUGCACUGGAUCCCAUCAGAACUUUGUAGUUAAGCACGCUUGGGCUAGAGUAGUACUGGGAUGGGUGA
rnacentral:rRNA from 1 species